GCAGUCGGUCGUUCUGUCGCUCUUUUGAAUUUUUCGAAAGGGAGGAAAGUCCGGACAACACAGAGCAUUGUACUUCCUAACGGGAAGAUACUCGCGAGAGUAUAGUAACGAAGAAGAAAAUAACCGCCUCAAACUUGUUUUGGGGUAAGGGUGAGAAGGUGAGGUAAGAGCUUACCGGUGUUGAAGGUAACUUCGGCAGCCGUUCGUCUUGCAAGUUGCAAUCUCAUGUAUAUCGGCAUUCAAGGGCUGCUCGUUCGAUGCCGAGGGGUAGGGAGCGCAGAUAAAUGACAGAAUUUAACAGAAUCCGGCUUACAGACCGACUGCUUUU
rnacentral:RNase_P_RNA from 1 species